rnacentral:lncRNA from 1 species
UACUUUAGUUGUUAUUUUGUGAAAAUAAAUCAUUUAAUCGAGGAAAUUUAUGCCAAGUUGGCUUCAUAACAUACAGCAUGUAUUUCAUUCCUGUUUUUUCCAUAAGUUACUUUAUAAAAGUUUUGGUCGUCGAUUGAGUUUAUGCUUGUGGUUGAGAAUGCAGAGCUGGUAAACAUGCAAGUACAGCCUAUGUGACAUUUAGAAAUCCUCAUGCCUUGGAAACAGCUGUCUUACUGAGUGUAAGUUCCUUCAGAUGGUUUAUUGGUUUAGUUGUAUAGUGAGUAAGGUUUAGGUCUCUGAAUAAGCAGCAUAGAAUUGUAUUCUGUGUACAAUUUGGCAGUUGCUAAUUCUGGUUCCAUGUGGUGUUAAAUGAAUGGAUUAUGUGUCACUUUUUUUUUAAACUACAAUUUGACAGUUGCUAAUUCUGGUUACAUGUGGUGUUAAAUGAAUGGAUUAUGUGUCACUUUUUUUUUAACUUGUGUGUUUGAAUGUAAAAUAGUUCAUCUACUGGACUUCAACAAAAAUGUAUGUGCUUUGAGAGUGAGGGCAAGACCUCGAUAUUGAUGUUUGAGUUCCAAUAUAAACAUUGUUGGACCAAUAAUUUGAAACCCUUCCAUUUGUCACAACAAUGCAAAGCCUUUCUUUUUUCCUCGAGCUGUUUUCAUAGAGCUUAGAGUAAUGUUGGUGUUGCUCGACAAGGUAUUGUUUUAUUAUAUCGCCAGUUAUAGUUGGUCAAAAUGCUCAUCUUCUUUGCGGUAAUUGGAUGUCCUAUUCUCCUGUAACGCUUCUCAUAAAUUUGCUUGGUCUCAAAAUCCAAGCAAUGAACCCCUUAGUAUUAUUUUGAUUCUGCAUACAUCUCUGUGCACUUAGAUUCAACAACAACAACAACAACCCAGGAUAAUCCCACUUAGUGGGGUCUGGGGAGGGUAGUGUGUACGCAGACCUUA